rnacentral:ncRNA from 2 species
CGCAUAUCGUCCCCGUCAGGUGCCCGCUUUUUGCGGGAGAAUCGGGAAUCCGGUGCGGGCUUGAAAAGCCCAGGUCCGGAACGUGCCCAACGCUGUGACGGGGAUAGCGCGCGCCGUAAAAGCUUGAAUCGAUUCAGGCUUUUGCCACUGGUUGCUCAACCGGGAAGGCAGGUGCUUGCUGCGUGACCCGAAGUCAGAAGACCGGCCUGGCAAGAUAGACCGAA